rnacentral:rRNA from 1 species
GAUGAACGCUGGCGGCGUGCCUAAUACAUGCAAGUCGAGCGAACGGACGAGAAGCUUGCUUCUCUGAUGUUAGCGGCGGACGGGUGAGUAACACGUGGAUAACCUACCUAUAAGACUGGGAUAACUUCGGGAAACCGGAGCUAAUACCGGAUAAUAUUUUGAACCGCAUGGUUCAAAAGUAAAAGACGGUCUUGCUGUCACUUAUAGAUGGAUCCGCGCUGCAUUAGCUAGUUGGUAAGGUAACGGCUUACCAAGGCAACGAUGCAUAGCCGACCUGAGAGGGGGGUAGGCCACAAGGGAAACGAGACAACGUCCAGGAUACUAAGGGACGGAGCAGGAGGGAAUGUUACGCAAUGGGCGAAAGCCUGACGGAGCAACGCCGCGUGAGUGAUGAAGGUCUUCGGAUCGUAAAACUCUGUUAUUAGGGAAGAACAUAUGUGUAAGUAACUGUGCACAUCUUGACGGUACCUAAUCAGAAAGCCACGGCUAACUACGUG